CGGCGCCGGCGGGACAGGGGGGCGUGGUGGGAGAAGGUUCCUGAUCCCGAGGCCGAGUUGCUGGACAGGGAAGCACCCGCUUGAAGAGCAGUCGUUUUCACCUGAUCUUGACUCUCUGGGUGAAGAACAACAUUUGGUGGGUGGAAGAAUAUACAUGCACUAAAGAUUAAUGAGCUUUUUAUUUAGAUUGACAACUACAAUCUACUAAUCUGCUGUACACAGUGUCCAAUACCCUUGUGUCAUGCUAGCGUAGCUCCAGGCACUCUUCUUGCCUGAGCCUUUGCAGAGGCUGCCGAGAUCAGCCCUUCCUUUGCUGGCAGCAGCAGGGUCUAAGUGAGUCUGGAGGUUAUCAGCUCGCUAAUGGCACAUAAUGGUGAUGAAAGAUGUGAAGGUACCAAGUGAAGGCUACAGAAAGUGACAAGAUCAGGCAGAAUAAUGCUGCUUUGGAAACCUAGACUUUAGUCAUGCCAGUGAUAAUAGUCAUUACACUACAUUAAUGAACUUUUUUUCAACCUAACAUGUGGGGUAUAGAUGUGCUAAGCCUUUGUUGCAAAUACAGUAAUGGUCAUGCUUUGUCUGUUCUGUAAGUCUCUGCACACUGAGAAGUUAAGUUCUCUGAAAUCUCUCACACUUUAAUCACCCAAAAUAAGAUUUUUGUACCUCAAGGUACCUCUCAGUACCUCAAGGCUGUAUCUCUAAAAGGGGGGUGAUGACAUGCUCCUUAGCUCUGAGUGGUUCAUGAAAAUAAAGGUAAUAAUGUCUGGAAAAAUAUGAGGCUGGGGUGGUAAGUAUUCUGAGAAAAAUGAUCUUCUCUUCAAAAACUAUUUGCUUAUUGUGCAAAAAAUAAGUAAAAAAGAUUGAACAGUGGAAAAAAACUACUGAACAGAAGAGCACUUUUCAAUUGUAGCACUGAAUUCAGAAGAAAGCUAUGAAAACACAACACUUGGUAGUCUUUAAUGCACAAAUACGGUAAAAAUUGAAUCUAACCUUAAUUUUUCAAUUUUAUGAUUCCUGAGUGCUCAUUUUCAUUACCGAGAUAAUAUUCUGUGAAAUAUACUUUUCCAUGGGGUAAUUCACAUGCAUGUACACUGCAUAUCCCCAUGCACUAGGUAGCUGCUACUUGUCAGCAGUUUGAACCUUUGCCAAACACAUCUCUCUGGUGUUAUCCUCACCAGAGCAUUUCCAAAUAAUACUAUGAUAGGUUGCCAUUCUAAACCAAAUACUUUAAUAUCCCUGUCAUGAACAAUCCUCCUGAAGGGCAAAAAUGCCAACCGACAUAACAGCCACCCUUCUGGAGAAUCUCUGACGCCCUGUCUCAUUCUA